GUGAGGAAUUUUCCGCAAUGGGCGAAAGCCUGACGGAGCAAUGCCGCGUGAAGGAUGAAGGCCUAUGGGUUGUAAACUUCUUUUCUCAGAAAAGAAUUAUGACGGUAUCUGAGGAAUAAGCAUCGGCUAACUCUGUGCCAGCAGCCGCGGUAAGACAGAGGAUGCAAGCGUUAUCCGGAAUGAUUGGGCGUAAAGCGUCUGUAGGUUGUUUAAAAAGUAUUCUGUCAAAGAUUAGGGCUUAACCCUAGAUAGGCAGAAUAAACUUUUAAGCUAGAGUUUGGUAGAGGCAGAGGGAAUUCCCGGUGGAGCGGGGAAAUGCGUAGAUAUCGGGAGGAACACCAAAGGCGAAGGCACUCUGCUGGGCCAAUACUAACACUGAGAGACGAAAGCGAGGGGAGCAAAUGGGAUUAGAAACCCCGGGUAGUCC
rnacentral:rRNA from 1 species